rnacentral:rRNA from 1 species
AGAGUUUGAUCAUGGCUCAGGACGAACGCUGGCGGCACGCUUAACACAUGCAAGUCGAACGAGAGAAGAGGAGCUUGCUUUUCUGAUCUAGUGGCGGACGGGUGAGUAACACGUGAGCAAUCUGCCUUUCAGAGGGGGAUACCGAUUGGAAACGAUCGUUAAUACCGCAUAACAUAAUUGAACCGCAUGAUUUGAUUAUCAAAGAUUUAUCGCUGAAAGAUGAGCUCGCGUCUGAUUAGCUAGUUGGUAAGGUAACGGCUUACCAAGGCGACGAUCAGUAGCCGGACUGAGAGGUUGAUCGGCCACAUUGGGACUGAGACACGGCCCAGACUCCUACGGGAGGUAGCAGUGGGGAAUAUUGCACAAUGGAGGAAACUCUGAUGCAGCGAUGCCGCGUGAGGGAAGAAGGUUUUAGGAUUGUAAACCUCUGUCUUCAGGGACGAAAAAAGACGGUACCUGAGGAGGAAGCUCCGGCUAACUACGUGCCAGCAGCCGCGGUAAUACGUAGGGAGCGAGCGUUGUCCGGAAUUACUGGGUGUAAAGGGAGCGUAGGCGGGAUCGCAAGUCAGAUGUGAAAACUAUGGGCUUAACCCAUAAACUGCAUUUGAAACUGUGGUUCUUGAGUGAAGUAGAGGUAAGCGGAAUUCCUAGUGUAGCGGUGAAAUGCGUAGAUAUUAGGAGGAACAUCAGUGGCGAAGGCGGCUUACUGGGCUUUAACUGACGCUGAGGCUCGAAAGCGUGGGGAGCAAACAGGAUUAGAUACCCUGGUAGUCCACGCCGUAAACGAUGAUUACUAGGUGUGGGGGGACUGACCCCUUCCGUGCCGCAGCAAACGCAAUAAGUAAUCCACCUGGGGAGUACGACCGCAAGGUUGAAACUCAAAGGAAUUGACGGGGGCCCGCACAAGCAGUGGAGUAUGUGGAUUAAUUCGAAGCAACGCGAAGAACCUUACCAGGUCUUGACAUCGUAUGCAUAGCUCAGAGAUGAGUGAAAUCUCUUCGGAGACAUAUAGACAGGUGGUGCAUGGUUGUCGUCAGCUCGUGUCGUGAGACGUUGGGUUAAGUCCCGCAACGAGCGCAACCCUUAUCUCUAGUAGCCAGCGGUUCGGCCGGGCACUCUAGAGAGACUGCCAGGGAUAACCUGGAGGAGGGCGGGGAUGACGUCAAAUCAUCAUGCCCCUUAUGCUUAGGGCUACACACGUGCUACAAUGGGUGGUACAGAGGGCAGCAAAGUCGUGAGGCCAAGCUAAUCCCUUAAAGCCAUUCUCAGUUCGGAUUGUAGGCUGAAACUCGCCUACAUGAAGCUGGAGUUACUAGUAAUCGCAGAUCAGAAUGCUGCGGUGAAUGCGUUCCCGGGUCUUGUACACACCGCCCGUCACACCAUGGGAGUUGGGGGCGCCCGAAGCCGGCUAGCUAACCUUUUGGAAGCGGUCGUCGAAGGUGAAACCAAUAACUGGGGUGAAGUCGUACAAGGUA